rnacentral:tRNA from 1 species
GGGACAAUAGUUAAAAAUAUAACAUUUAAUUUGCAAUUAAAAAUUAUUAAAAUAUUAAUUUGUCUCA